GUCCACGCCCUAAACGAUGUCAACUGGUUGUUGAGAGGGUUCCUUCUCAGUAACGUAGCUAACGCGUGAAGUUGACCGCCUGGGGAGUACGGCCGCAAGGUUGAAACUCAAAGGAAUUGACGGGACCCGCACAAGCGGUGGAUGAUGUGGUUUAAUUCGACGCAACGCGAAAAACCUUACCUACCCUUGACAUGCCUGGAAUCCUGCAGAGAUGUAGGGUGCUCGAAAGAGAACCAGGACACAGGUGCUGCAUGGCCGUCGU
rnacentral:rRNA from 1 species